CCUACGGGUGACAGCAGUCGAGAAUCAUUCACAAUGGGGGAAACCCUGAUGGUGCGACGCCGCGUGGGGGAAUGAAGGUCUUCGGAUUGUAAACCCCUGUCAUGUGGGAGCAAAUUAAAAAGAUAGUACCACAAGAGGAAGAGACGGCUAACUCGGUGCCAGCAGCCGCGGUAUACAGAGGUCUCAAACGUUGUUCGGAAUCACUGGGCGUAAAGGGUGCGUAGGUUGUUUCGUAAGUCGUGUGUGAAAGGCGCGGGCUCAACCCGCGGACGGCACAUGACACUGCGAGACUAGAGAAAAGGAGGGGGAACCGGAAUGCUCGGUGUAGCAGUGAAAUGCGUAGAGAUCGAGAGGAACACUCGUGGCGAAGGCGGGUUACUGGACAUUAACUGACGCUGAGGCACGAAGGCCAGGGGAGCGAAAGGGAUUAGAUACCCCAGUAGUC
rnacentral:rRNA from 1 species